rfam:Gossypium raimondii Chr01_contig_984, whole genome shotgun sequence.
AAUCCAUGAUGUGGGCAUCUUUGGAUCAUCACUUAAAAGUGUUCCCAAGCUUUGUGAAAAUUUUCUCCUUCUAGUUGUUUAAAUGUUGUAAUCUCUCUCCUCAGUUG